rnacentral:lncRNA from 1 species
GGCUCGGCCAGGCCGGGCCCGCGGCUCCUAGCACCGAGCGGGCGGCGGCCGCGGCACUUCCGGGUUAGCCGUCUCCAUGUUGGUCUCGGCAACGCGAGGGGCGGGGCCGGGCGGGGUCAGGGGUCAGCGCCUCCCUCGUUGCUGUGGCGACCGGGGGCGCGCGUCUCUGGACGCAGGCCGCCUGGGUUCUUGGUGUUGCACAAUCCUGGCCGGGUGUUGGGUUCUGGGGUCUCAGUGCCCUGCAAUGGCAGACAGUACGGUUCUGGGGAGAGAUGGAGAUGCAGAAACAUUAGGUCAGCGAGAAGUUUUCCCAAGGUAUCAUUAUAAUCUUCAGAUUUCAGAUACAUACAUACAUGCACCUCCAACAUACAACUGAAAUGUAUAUAAAGUUCGUACAUGUAUACAUAUGACAGAGGUAUGCUGAAGAUACAUAGAUCAACCUUCA